CGACCCCGACGCCGACGCCGACGCCGACCCCGGUUCCGGUUCCGCCCAGCCUCGCGGCCGAGGCCGGUUCUCGUAGUGCUCACCGGUACUCGUAGUGCUCGUCGAAGUACUUGUCCGAGUAGUAGAUCUGCUUGUGGGCCAUCGUGCGGGCGGCGGGAGCGACGGGGCGCGAAGAGCGGGCGCAGCGGGCCACACGUCCGCGUCAGGCCGAAGCAACGACUCGACUGCGACCAACCGACCGCAGGCCCAACGAUCCCGGUUUGAAUCCGACAGCCCACCGCUGAUUGGACGGAGGCGCCAGCCAAUCACCUUCCACGCAAACUGCCAGUAGGCGGAACCGGCUCCCAGCCUAUCGUCACCGACCCUCCUCGGCGUUGUCUCCCCCGACCAGCCAAUCAGAGACCUGUUGCGGGGUCGCCCUGGGGAAGAAGUGGAUGAUUGGCAAGGCGUGGCGACGGGUAGCUCCCAGACGGGAAGGGGCGUGGCCAGGGGAGGGCGGAGCCCGGACGUUAAGGGCCUCAGAGCGCGUGCGCAGGGGUUUAGAACGUUCCAGGUCAGCCAGGCCGUUGGGGAGGGCGGACCUGAGGGAAAGGUUAAAACCACAGCAACAGCUAUUUGUCCAGAUCCAUUUAGCAAGUGGCGGGCUGCAGACUCGAGCCCCAACAGUCUGAGUCCGCAGUUAGGCCCCUUAACUGCUACUGUGUGCUGUCGCUUAUCUUAACAAUAUGGCAUAUGCCGGGGACAGAGUGCACAGGACACGGGAAGGAGCGUUGUGGGAAAUGAAUCCGGGAGGAUGGAUGUCACAGACCUCAAAACAGCCCCCAGAGAUGUCCAUGUCCUGAUCCCUGGAACCUGGAGAUGUGUUGCCUGGACUUGGCAGAUGUGACCAAGUUACUUCUGACCUCUAGAACUGUCAGAUAAUAAAUUUGUGUUGUUUUAAGGCA